GCAGGACCUUACUCAAACUGCUUGAACGUGCGUGGCAGCAGAGAGAUAAUUUCCUAACACCUUCUAUGGAGCUGUAAUAGCCUGGAUGGUGAAAGGAGAGAAGGAGCUGACUUGUUCCUUUAGCAAUUGGAGCCACUCCACAGGUGUAUCAACUGCUGCAGAGUACCUGGAGAUCUGAUCAGUUCUUGCAGGCGAAGGUAACAUUGUUGAGAUGGUGACACUGAAGAGCAAGAGGAUUCACAGACAAAAAAAAAAAAAAAAGGCAGCAGAGAAGAUGAGAUGGAAACUGAGCAACAAUAGAAUGAGGCUGUUUCAGGGAGCCAUGGACACUGACACCCACUUGCCAGCAGAUUGUGUACCUGCUGUGUGCCUGCGAGGUGGCCAUGAGUUUAUGAAUCUUUAGCCAAGUAAUGAGUUUGAGCCCUGUCCUACCUGUGCCAGGCCACAAAGGACAGCUUGUAAGCUGUAUCUCACCCUGCCUGCAUCGUGCCAAAUAAAGGUGCCCAAGUGACAGUGGUGAAAGGGUGUGAACUUAAAAAUUGAUGAAAACAAUCCUUCAUAGCUUCUGUGUUCCCUGUUCAACUACCUCUUCCCAAAGCUAGAUAAGAAACUGCUACUACGUGUGGUCUGCACACGAUAGACAUGAGGGAAAUUGCACAGUUAAAGGACUGUUGUAAGAGCAUUGUCCUCAGCUGACAUGUCAGAUUGUCAGAGAGUAUUAAAAGUCAAACCAUGCCACAUUACUGGUUUGCUUCUGCUCCA